AAAAAUGACAUCAGUUUAUGAAAGUCUUUUAUCAGACUAUCCAGACAAAGGAGUAAUUGGAAAACCUGAGAUCCGAGACACUGAAACUGAAAUAAUUGAGAAACUCCGCACUUUGUACAACCAUUUCGUCCAAGCUAAACAAACCGGAAAACCAAUUUUUGUUCUUAUCGGAGCCGGUGUGAGCACUGGAUCGAAACUUCCAGAUUUUCGAGGAAAACAAGGCGUUUGGACAUUACAAGCUGAAGGAAAACAUGCAGAAGGAGUGGACUUUCAAGUUGCUCGUCCCGGAGUCUCACACAAAUCAAUAUUGGCACUUCACAAGGCGGGUUACAUCAAAACGAUAAUCACACAGAAUGUUGAUGGAUUGGAUCGAAAAGUCGGGAUUCCAGUUGAAGAUCUCAUUGAAGUACAUGGAAAUUUAUUUCUAGAAGUCUGUCAAUCAUGUUUUAGGUAUAUUUUAAAAAUCAAUCCACGGAAAACUCGACCAUCUUCAUAAAAUGAGUUAGGUGCAUUCUCUCAAAAAUCGGUUCGGUGGAACUAUUGAAAACCCAUCCAAGUCUAUUUGAAUAUGUACGAGAGGAAAUUGUAAUGAGUGUUGGCCUGUGUCCAACUGGUCGUAAUUGUGAAGGAAACAAACGAACCGGGCGAUCGUGUCGUGGUAAACUUCGUGAUGCAACUCUCGAUUGGGAUACAGAAAUCAGUUUAAAUCAUUUGGACAGAAUCCGAAAAGCAUGGAAACAAACAUCUCAUCUUCUUUGUAUUGGAACAUCACUUGAAAUUAUUCCAAUGGGAUCUCUACCACUUGAUGCAAAAUCAAAAGGAAUUAAAACAACUACAAUUAAUUAUCAGGAAACUGCACAUGAAAAAAUCGUGGAAACUGCAAUUCAUGCUGACGUUAAACUUAUUCUUUACUCAUUAUGCAAUGCACUUGGAGUGAAUGUUGAUCUUGGAGAUGAUCUACCGGAUGAAGUGCCUAUUCCAUUGAAAAUUAGCUAAAACUGAAUUAUAAUUGAAUUAUAUAAAUAA